AUCGUGCUUGUUACUUUGUUUCCUGCUGAGCUUGCACACUCUCUAACCUGUACAAACAUACCACAUUUUCAUUAUUUUUUUUCCAGUCCCUUUUCAGGGUAAAUUAAAUUUAAUGGUAUUUUAAUACUGGUCAAUUUUUACUUGGGGUUAGUUUAGGGUUUGAGGGUAAAAUAGAUUAUCUAUAUAAAGGAAGUGAGUAUUAGUUAGGAAGCAACAAAUCAAAACCCACUUCCUGAUAAGGUUUUGGAAACAUGGGGUCUCCAAUGGCCUCUAUCAUUACCACCAUUUUGGUGGUAGCACUCUCUCUAAGCUUGCCAUGGGAAGCCUCAGCAAACUACCACUACUACUCUCCUCCACCUCCAAAAUCCCCACCACCACCUGUGUACUCUCCACCUUACCAUUACAAAUCUCCUCCUCCUCCUCCUCCUCCAGUGUACUCUCCACCCCCACCACCACCUUACAAGUAUAAGUCCCCUCCACCUCCUCCUCCAGUUUACAAAUACAAAUCUCCUCCGCCCCCUCCUCCUGUGUACUUUCCUCCACCACCCAAGAUACCUUAUAAGUACAAGUCUCCGCCACCUCCUCCACCAGUUUACAAGUACAAAUCUCCUCCACCCCCUCCACCAGUAUACUCUCCGCCACCCCACAAGAAACCUUAUAAGUACAAGUCUCCCCCACCACCC
rnacentral:misc_RNA from 1 species